CAUUUUUUCAUUUUUUUUGAGUCAAAUGGCGACCCGCAAAGAGCAGGAGGAUAUUGAACCCACAAAUGGACUCCGGAUCAGGUCCGACACCUAAUAAGCUUUAGGACUACCAACGAGGAGAAUUUUACAAAGAAGAAAUAUGCUGCUAAACCACUGUGGGAGAAACUCAUCAAAGAGCUGGAACUGGAGGGGAAGGUGACCACAGCACAAAUUGGCAAAAAAUGGAACACUUUGGAAGACACCAGCACAU